rnacentral:rRNA from 1 species
UACAGAGGGUGCAAGCGUUGUUCGGAAUUAUUGGGCGUAAAGAGCUCGUAGGCGGUUCGUCGCGUCGGCUGUGAAAUCCCGAGGCUCAACCUCGGGUCUGCAGUCGAUACGGGCGGACUGGAGUUCGGCAGGGGAGACUGGAAUUCCUGGUGUAGCGGUGAAAUGCGCAGAUAUCAGGAGGAACACCGGUGGCGAAGGCGGGUCUCUGGGCCGUAACUGACGCUGAGGAGCGAAAGCAUGGGGAGCGAACAGG